GGGAUUGCCCUAGUAACGGCGAGUGAAGCGGCAACAGCUCAAAUUUGAAAUCUGGCGUCUUUGGCGUCCGAGUUGUAAUUUGCAGAGGGCGCUUUGGCAUUGGCAGCGGUCCAAGUUCCUUGGAACAGGACGUCACAGAGGGUGAGAAUCCCGUACGUGGUCGCUAGCCUUUACCGUGUAAAGCCCCUUCGACGAGUCGAGUUGUUUGGGAAUGCAGCUCUAAAUGGGAGGUAAAUUUCUUCUAAAGCUAAAUACUGGCCAGAGACCGAUAGCGCACAAGUAGAGUGAUCGAAAGAUGAAAAGCACUUUGGAAAGAGAGUUAAAAAGCACGUGAAAUUGUUGAAAGGGAAGCGCUUGCAGCCAGACUUGCCUGUAGUUGCUCAUCCGGGUUUUUACCCGGUGCACUCUUCUAUAGGCAGGCCAGCAUCAGUUUGGGCGGUUGGAUAAAGGUCUCUGUCACGUACCUCCUCUCGGGGAGAACUUAUAGGGGAGACGUAAUGCAACCAGCCUGGACUGAGGUCCGCGCAUCUGCUAGGAUGCUGGCGUAAUGGCUGUAAGCGGCCCGUCUUGAAACACGGACCAAGGAGUCUAACAUCUAUGCGAGUGUUUGGGUGUCAAGCCCGAGCGCGUAAUGAAAGUGAACGGAGGUGGGAACCUUUCGGGGUGCACCAUCGACCGAUCCUGAUGUCUUCGGAUGGAUUUGAGUAAGAGCAUAGCUGUUGGGACCCGAAAGAUGGUGAACUAUGCUUGAAUAGGGUGAAGCCAGAGGAAACUCUGGUGGAGGCUCGCAGCGGUUCUGACGUGCAAAUCGAUCGUCAAAUUUGGGCAUAGGGGCGAAAGACUAAUCGAACUAUCUAGUAGCUGGUUCCUGCCGAAGUUUCCCUCAGGAUAGCAGUAACGUUUUCAGUUUUAUGAGGUAAAGCGAAUGAUUAGAGGCCUGGGGGUUGAAACAACCUUCACCUAUUCUCAAACUUUAAAUAUGUAAGAAGUCCUUGUUACUUAAUUGAACGUGGACAGUUGAAUGUAUCGUUACUAGUGGGCCAUUUUUGGUAAGCAGAACUGGCGAUGCGGGAUGAACCGAACGCGGGGUUAAGGUGCCAGAAUAUACGCUCAUCAGACACCACAAAAGGUGUUAGUUCAUCUAGACAGCAGGACGGUGGCCAUGGAAGUCGGAAUCCGCUAAGGAGUGUGUAACAACUCACCUGCCGAAUGAACUAGCCCUGAAAAUGGAUGGCGCUCAAGCGUAUUACCCAUACCCCGCCGCUGGGGCAAGAUUUAAGCCCCAGCGAGUAGGCAGGCGUGGAGGUCCGUGACGAAG
rnacentral:rRNA from 2 species